AAUCAACGCUGGCGGCGUGCCUAACACAUGCAAGUCGAACGCGAAAGUCCCGCAAGGGAUCAGUAGAGUGGCAAACGGGUGAGUAACGCGUGGGCGACCUACCUUCGAGUGGGGGAUAACCUUCCGAAAGGAGGGCUAAUACCGCAUGACAUUCCGUGUUUGGACACACGGGUAUCAAAGCCGGGGAUCGCAAGACCUGGCGCUUGAAGAGGGGCCCGCGUCCGAUUAGCUAGUUGGUGGGGUAAUGGCUCACCAAGGCUCCGAUCGGUAUCCGGCCUGAGAGGGCGGACGGACACACUGGGACUGAGACACGGCCCAGACUCCUACGGGAGGCAG
rnacentral:rRNA from 1 species